GCAGCUGUUGGAGGGGCGACGGCGGUGACGGUGAUGUUGGAAGGGGUGACGUCGGGUUGCUAGGGCGAUGGCGGGGUUGGCGACGGUGGCAGAGGUGAUGGCGGCAGCGGUGAUGGCAGGGAUGCAUAUGGCGACGGUAGCUCGGGCAACGGCGGGGAUGCAUAUGCCGACGGCGGCAGGGACGGCGCCGUGGAUGGUGAUGGUAGAAGGAGCAACGGCGGGUGGCUCGGUUGACGGCAGGGUUGGUGACGAUGGCUCAGGCACCGGUGGGGUUGGCAGCUGUUGGAGGGGCGACGGCGGUGACGGUGAUGUUGGAAGGGGUGACGUCGGGUUGCUAGGGCGAUGGCGGGGUUGGCGACGGUGGCAGAGGUUGUGGCGGCAGCGGUGAUGGCAGGGAUGCAUAUGGCAACGGUAGCUCGGGCAACGGCGGGGAUGCAUAUGCCGACGGCGGCAGGGACGGCGCCGUGGAUGGUGAUGGUAGAAGGAGCAACGGCGGGUGGCUCGGUUGACGGCAGGGUUGGUGACGAUGGCUCAGGCACCGGUGGGGUUGGCAGCUGUUGGAGGGGCGACGGCGGUGACGGUGAUGUUGGAAGGGGUGACGUCGGGUUGCUAGGGCGAUGGCGGGGUUGGCGACGGUGGCAGAGGUUGUGGCGGCAGCGGUGAUGGCAGGGAUGCAUAUGGCGACGGUAGCUCGGGCAACGGCGGGGAUGCAUAUGCCGACGGCAGCAGGGACGGCGCCGGGCAUGGUGAUGGUAGAAGGAGCAACGGCGGGUGGCUCGGUUGUCGGCAGGGUUGGUGACGAUGGCUCAGGCACCGGUGGGGUUGGCAGCUGUUGGAGGGGCGACGGCGGUGACGGUGAUGUUGGAAGGGGUGACGUCGGGUUGCUAGGGCGAUGGCGGGGUUGGCGACGGUGGCAGAGGUUGUGGCGGCAGCGGUGAUGGCAGGGAUGCAUAUGGCGACGGUAGCUCGGGCAACGGCGGGGAUGCAUAUGCCGACGGCAGCAGGGACGGCGCCGGGCAUGGUGAUGGUAGAAGGAGCAACGGCGGGUGGCUCGGUUGUCGGCAGGGUUGGUGACGAUGGCUCAGGCACCGGUGGGGUUGGCAGCUGUUGGAGGGGCGACGGCGGUGACGGUGAUGUUGGAAGGGGUGACGUCGGGUUGCUAGGGCGAUGGCGGGGUUGGCGACGGUGGCAGAGGUUGUGGCGGCAGCGGUGAUGGCAAGGAUGCAUAUGGCGACGGUAGCUCGGGCAACGGCGGGGAUGCAUAUGCCGACGGCGGCAGGGACGGCGCCGUGCAUGGUGAUGGUAGAAGGAGCAACGGCGGGUGGCUCGGUUGACGGCAGGGUUGGUGACGAUGGCUCAGGCACCGGUGGGGUUGGCAGCUGUUGGAGGGGCGACGGCGGUGACGGUGAUGUUGGAAGGGGUGACGUCGGGUUGCUAGGGCGAUGGCGGGGUUGGCGACGGUGGCAGAGGUGAUGGCGGCAGCGGUGACGGCAGGGAUGCAUAUGGCGACGGUAGCUCGGGCAACGGCGGGGAUGCAUAUGCCGACGGCGGCAGGGACGGCGCCGUGGAUGGUGAUGGUAGAAGGAGCAACGGCGGGUGGCUCGGUUGACGGCAGGGUUGGUGACGAUGGCUCAGGCACCGGUGGGGUUGGCAGCUGUUGGAGGGGCGACGGCGGUGACGGUGAUGUUGGAAGGGGUGACGUCGGG
rnacentral:lncRNA from 1 species